rnacentral:rRNA from 1 species
CCUACGGGGGGCAGCAGUAAGGAAUAUUGCACAAUGGGGGGAACCCUGAUGCAGCAACGCCGCGUGGGUGAUGAAGGCUUUCGAGUUGUAAAACCCUUUACUGUGGGAUGAGUAAGGACAGUACCACAGAAAAAAGUCUCGGCUAACUACGUGCCAGCAGCCGCGGUGAGACGUAGGAGGCGAGCGUUAUCCGGAUUCACUGGGCGUAAAGGGCAAGUAGGCGGUUGUUCAAGUUGGGCGUGACAGCACUCGGCUUAACUGAGAGAGGUCGUCCAAUACUGAAUGACUAGAGGGCAGGAGAGGAAAGUGGAACUCCCGAUGUAGCGGUGGAAUGCUCAGAUAUCGGGAAGAACACCAGUGGCGAAGGCGGCUUUCUGGCCUGCACCUGACGCUGAGACGCGAAAGCUAGGGUAGCGAACGGGCUUAGAUACCCGGGUAGUC